AAGCAAAGGGCCCUCUUAAUUUUGGAAGGUUUUUAAAAAUAGUGUGUUCUCAAAGUCUUCAUGGGGUUGAAUCAUCUCUGAGCCAGUCUGACAGGGCCCUGGAACCAGCGCCGCGCCUGCUGCCAGCACUGCGUCACGGGAGCAGCCUUGGAGCGCAGAGGAGCAGGGAGCCUGCCAGCAGCAUCAAGUGACCCGGUGAGGCCAUGACGCAGCCCUGGAAAACUAUCACAGACAGGGGAAGAAACAACACCAGGCAUGAGAAGACCCCAUUAGCUCUCGGAUCCCCCGGAGCUGCCCUUCAUUACAUCCAGAAAACUGAAAGGAAUAGGGUAUUUUUAUUCUGUCGUCUUCUGGUUUUCAAAAUAAAAACGAUCAUACCGUGUUAGGAACUUCAUUUGAACACCUUUGACCACCAUGCUUGGACAUGACUAAAGAGCCGAUGCAGAGAACCUAGCAACAUGACUUUGGUCUAUUAAUGUUAUCACCUGCUCCAAAACCUGAAACAGCAAGGAUCAUCACUUCCAUGUCAGGUACAUCCUUUAAAAGUUCUCAUAGAGUCACCAUGCAAACAACCUUGUAUCACCCUCAUACCGCAAAGAGUUCUAGAAUUGUCGCUCUUUUUCAUUAUUUCAUGCUGUUUAUUUGCCCAGCAGUGUGAUUUGUUCCUGUCCAUGUGUGCUCCUGCCAGUUACUCUCAUGAAACAGGGUAACUGAUGAGUCUUGGGAAACAGGGUGCCAGUGAGUCUUGGAGGUGCUGUUGCUGUCUGGAGAGAUUGUAAGCCUUAUCUGUGGAUUCUGUGCUUUUAUCGCUUUUUGUAUUUAUGUAUUUAUGUAAUAAAUAUGGCUGAGCACAAAACCAUUGCGUGUUUUUUGCUCUUACCACUGGUUGCACUUGGAAGACAGUAGUGGUCUUUUGUCUUUGGAAAAAUGCAUUUAUCUCAGAUACACAUGUACAGUACAUGAAUCAUACAAACUUCUCAAAGUGGGUAUUUUGAGUUGCCAGAUGACCUACAAAACUACAAAUGCACUUAGAUAGAGGACAUCAUGGAAGAAAAACCAGAGGGGUUGUUUAUUGAUACCAAGCCUAAAAAUACACAUUUAUGUUUUGAAGCUUAGGUGAUGGAAAUUCUCCAAAAUCAAAGGUGAAUACCUUUGCUAGAAUUAAUACCAAAUUUAAAAAACCUAACUUAUAUUAGGUGUUUAAAGGAAAUGCAAGAAUUGUGUUACAAAACAUUCAGACACUGCAAGGCACUUGGCCUGCCUGUUCUCGGAAUGCAGCCAAACUCCUGCUACCUGGAAACCACAAGCUCAUAUUAUGGCUU